rnacentral:rRNA from 1 species
UACGAAGGGUGCAAACGUUGCUCGGAAUUAUUGGGCGUAAAGCGCACGUAGGCGGCUUGGCAAGUCGGAUGUGAAAUCCCUCGGCUCAACCAAGGAAGUGCAUCCGAAACUGCCGAGCUUGAGUACUUAAGAGGAUCGCGGAAUUCCCGGUGUAGAGGUGAAAUUCGUAGAUAUCAGGAGGAACACCGGUGGCGAAGGCGGGUCUCUGGGCCGAUACUGACGCUGAGGAGCGAAAGCGUGGGGAGCGAACAGG